rnacentral:rRNA from 1 species
UGGGGAAUAUUGGACAAUGGGCGCAAGCCUGAUCCAGCCAUGCCGCGUGAGUGAUGACGGCCUUAGGGUUGUAAAGCUCUUUCGCUCGGGACGAUAAUGACGGUACCGAGAUAAGAAGCCCCGGCUAACUUCGUGCCAGCAGCCGCGGUAAUACGAAGGGGGCGAGCGUUGUUCGGAUUUACUGGGCGUAAAGGGCGCGUAGGCGGCGUAAGAAGUCAGGCGUGAAAGCCCCGGGCUCAACCUGGGAAUUGCGCUUGGGACUCUCAUGCUGGAGUUCGGGAGAGGAGCGUGGAAUUCCCAGUGUAGAGGUGAAAUUCGUAGAUAUUGGGAAGAACACCGGUGGCGAAGGCGGCGCUCUGGACCGAUACUGACGCUGAGGCGCGAAAGCGUGGGGAGCAAACAGGAUUAGAUACCCUGGUAGUCCACGCUGUAAACGAUGUGUGCCAGACGUUGGGGGGCCUAGCUCUCCGGUGUCGCCGCUAACGCUUUAAGCACACCGCCUGGGGAGUACGGCCGCAAGG